AGUGAACGCUGGCGGUAGGCCUAACACAUGCAAGUCGAACGGCAGCACAGUAAGAGCUUGCUCUUACGGGUGGCGAGUGGCGGACGGGUGAGGAAUACAUCGGAAUCUACUUUUUCGUGGGGGGUAAAGGUGGGGAAACUUACGCUAAUACCGAAUACGACCUACGGGUGAAGCCAGGGGAUCUUCGGACCUUGCGCGAUUGAUUGAGCCGAUGUCGGUUUAGCUAGUUGGCGGGGUAAAGGCCAACCAAGGCGACGAUCCGUAGCUGGUCUGAGAGGAUGAUCAGCCACACUGGAACUGAGACACGGUCCAGACUCCUACGGGAGGCAGCAGUGGGGAAUACUGGACAAUGGGCGCAAGCCUGAUCCAGCCAUACCGCGUGGGUGAAGAAGGCCUUCGGGUUGUAAAGCCCUUUUGUUGGGAAAGAAAAGCAGCAGGUUAAUACCCCGCUGUUCUGACGGUACCCAAAGAAUAAGCACCGGCUAACUUCGUG
rnacentral:rRNA from 1 species